rnacentral:lncRNA from 1 species
CCUUUUAGCUAUUGUGAAUAAUGCUGCAGUGAACACGUGGGUAGAAAUAUUUCUUCAACACCCUGUUUUAGUUCUUUUGGGUAUAUACUCAGAAACGGAAUUGCUGGAUCAUAUGGUAAUUCUAUCUUUAAUUUUUUUGAAGAAUCACGAUUUUUUUUUUUUUUUUUUUUUGAGACAGACUCUCACUCUAUCACCAGGCUGGAGUGCAGUGGCACGAUCUUGGCUCACUCUGCAAGCUCCGCCUCCUGGGUUCAAGUGAUUCUCCUGCCUCAGCCUCCUGAGUAGCUGGGAUUACAGGCACCCACCACCACGCCUGGCUAAUUUUUGUAUUUUUAGUAGAGAAGGGGUUUCACCAUGUUGGCCAGGCUGGUCUUGAACUCCUGACCUCAGGUGAUCACCUGCAUCAGCCUCCCAAAGUGCUGGGAUUACAGGUGUGAGCCACCGCACCUGGCCCACUAUACUCUUUAUAGGAGCAGCUGCACCAUUUCACAUUCCCACCAGCAGUGCACAAGGGCUUCAUUUUUUCCACAUCUUUGUCAAUAUGUGUUAUUUCUUUUUUUUUUUUUAAUCAUAGGCAUCCUAAUGGGUAUGAGGUGGUUUAGCCAGAUUUGAAAGAAGAAAAGUUUAAAGGGUGGCAUAGGAUAAUUAACUUAAUGUUUGGCAUAAAGCCCUGCUUUUUUGCCAUGCUGUAUUUUUUUCUCUUGCUUUUGAUCUAGAAUUACUUACCUGUGUGUUUCUCUCUAUGCAGAUGAAUCUAUAAAAUAUACCAUAUACAAUAGUACUGGCAUUCAGAUUGGAGCCUACAAUUAUAUGGAGAUUGGUGGGACGAGUUCAUCACUACUAGACAGCACAAAUACGAACUUCAAAGAAGAGCCAGCUGCUAAGUACCAAGCUAUCUUUGGUAAGAUACCCUGGAAGGACUCAACGCCUAGCAACCUUGAACUUUCUUACUUGUG